ACUUUGAAAACUUGGGUCACACUACAAAGAAUAAGAUUUUUCGACUAGUGAAACUCUUAGCCGAUCUGAGUACUAGGCUUAAUAAAUCGGAAGCCCGCAUACUUUGCUGCGCCGACAUUUUCUGUUCCCAAAAUCUUUCGGCGGUCAUAUCAUUCUAGUGAACGUGUCACUGUAAUUGAAAUAUAAUUUCACUUAUAGUGCGUGUAUUAUCAAACUAAUAAAUAUGAAUGUAUUCAAUGGGUUCCGUUAGCCGAAAGUGGAUGACGAAAUGUUUUGAUCCAAUAAAAACCCUGCAAAGGGUUAAACACAGCUAUAAAAGGAGCGUUGGCCAAGGAUUCAGAGGACCCGGACAAAGGUUUAAGAACGGCGAUGACUAACGUU